rnacentral:rRNA from 1 species
UAACGCGUGGGUAACCUGCCUUACACUGGGGGAUAACACUUAGAAAUAGGUGCUAAUACCGCAUAAGCGCACGAAGCCGCAUGGAUUUGUGUGAAAAACUCCGGUGGUGUAAGAUGGACCCGCGUCUGAUUAGCUUGUUGGCGGGGUAACGGCCCACCAAGGCGACGAUCAGUGGCCGGCCUGAGAGGGUGGACGGCCACAUUGGGACUGAGACACGGCCCAAACUCCUACGGGAGGCAGCAGUGGGGGAUAUUGGACAAUGGGGGGAACCCUGAUCCAGCGACGCCGCGUGAGUGAAGAAGUAUUUCGGUAUGUAAAGCUCUGUCAGCAGGGAAGAAAGAAAUGACGGUACCUGACCAAGAAGCCCCGGCUAACUACGUGCCAGCAGCCGCGGUAAUACGUAGGGGGCAAGCGUUAUCCGGAAUUACUGGGUGUAAAGGGAGCGUAGACGGUUAAGUAAGUCUGGAGUGAAAGGCCGGGGCCCAACCCCGGGACUGCUCUGGAAACUAUUGAACUUGAGUGCAGGAGAGGUAAGCGGAAUUCCUAGUGUAGCGGUGAAAUGCGUAGAUAUUAGGAGGAACACCAGUGGCGAAGGCGGCUUACUGGACUGUAACUGACGUUGAGGCUCGAAAGCGUGGGGAGCAAACAGGAUUAGAUACCCUGGUAGU